rnacentral:rRNA from 1 species
UACAGAGGUCUCGAGCGUUGUUCGGAUUCAUUGGGCGUAAAGGGUGCGUAGGUGGCGCUGUAAGUCCGGUGUGAAAUUUCGGAGCUUAACUCCGAAACUGCAUUCGAUACUGCCGGGCUUGAGGACUGGAGAGGAGACUGGAAUUUACGGUGUAGCGGUGAAAUGCGUAGAUAUCGUAAGGAAGGCCAGUGGCGAAGGCGGGUCGCUGGACAUUUCCUGACGCUGAGGCACGAAGGUCAGGGGAGCAAACGGG